UCCAAGUUUGUAAUUAACUUUUUUUCUCUGGGGCAAACAGAUGAAAAGUACAUCUUAAUAUGAAAAAUUAUCCUCCAUUUAGCAAGAAGACCAUGCCCAGUGCUUUGAAGGAAAAACACUAAUCAUCUAAGAUCCUCUGUUCUAAGAACAACAUUGCCAUUUCAAACAUUUCUCUCAACUCUG
rnacentral:lncRNA from 1 species